AAUAAAUACAGUCUUACACUUGACCGUUCGUUUUAUUUGAAAUUUUUUUAUGAUUAGUAUUUUUAUUGCUAUUAGAUGAUAAAACAUGAAUAUUACUUUAUGUAUGACUAAAUAUUUUUAUUUUUUUUACAAAUUUUUCAAAUAAGACGAACGGUCAAACGUUGGGCACGGAUAUCCACGGCUGCACUUAUU
rfam:Oryza barthii chromosome 7, whole genome shotgun sequence.